rnacentral:rRNA from 1 species
UAAAUAGUGACGGGGACACUUUAGGGCGGAGCAGUACGGACUGUGUGCGUUGGCGCUUCGGCGUUUGGCGUGCAUGGCACCGGCUCUCCGUUCGUCCCUGGCCCACUUCUUAGAGGGACUGCCGGCGUUGCAGCCGGAGGAAGUUUGAGGCAAUAACAGGUCUGUGAUGCCCUUAGAUGUUCUGGGCCGCACGCGCGCUACACUGACGGAGCCAGCGAGUAUUGACUUUUGUCGUCCUUGGCCGAAAGGCCCG